AAAGGCGUGGCGGAGUGGUUUAUCGCGGGCGGCCGUCCUACGGGACCCGCUCCGGGCCUCCGGGCUCGCGCAGGUUCAAAUCCUGCCGCCUUUC
rnacentral:tRNA from 1 species